rnacentral:lncRNA from 1 species
UCACUGUAGGAGAACAAAUAAGAAAUAUAUCUUCUUUUGGUGACGCAUACACUUCGAAUCAUAGAUAUUGUCUACAUGACGCACAAAAGAGAUCAUCAAUCUCCGUGUUGAAUAGUUCUUGAUGCAGUUGAAACUGCGGCCAAGAAAUGGGUGAAGCUAAUCUUGUCUACUAUACAGGAUCUGUUCUGAUGAGUCGAGCAGGAAACACUGCAGCAAAUUCGCAAUGGUUAGUGCAGUCGUAAUGAGCAUUAAAGUCUCCUUUGAUCUCUGAAAGUUCCAAACAGUAUCAGCUAAAACCUCUACACGGAUGUUUGCAUCAUUUAUAGGACACAACGUUCCACCGUUCGUCUGUGUUUGAUUUCUACCUCAUCAGUUAUUCGAGCAAGCUACAAACUCUAUGUUUCUUCAGAUCUCUAUCCCAACAAUCUGCAUGAAACAUGUGAUGUUCUGCGUGUGUGAGAUAAUUAGUGCCGAAGGAAAUCAACAUAAAUGAACUCCGUCUACAACUGAUCUACAUAGAGAGAGAGAGAGAUAGAGAGAGAGAGAGAGAGAGAGAGAGAGAGAGAGAGAGAGNNNNNNNNNNNNNNNNNNNNGAGAGAGAGAGAGAGAGAGAGAGGAGCUCCCUUCAAUCCAAGCAUGAGAAGAAGGGGAGCAAGGUCGUCUCCUGAUGCAUGCCCACCAGUGGGGUGCACCCUGCGACUGCAUGGGGUUGCACCCCAAAGGUAUUCAUGAACCAGCAGAGGGAGAUACUCUCUUCCCCUCGUAGAUUGGACUGAAGAGAGCUCUUUAGAUCCCCCUUCUCUAUCUAUCUAUACCCGAGAGCUGUGGCACGAGAAACACGAAGAAACGAGGUGUGUGGUGAUGGCCUUAAAUAGGCUCCAAAUUGGGAAGAUGGUGACAGACGCUGAUCUAAUGCUGACUGUAGGAGGAGGGUAGAUUUCUCUCGAUCGCCGAGCGCUUGUUCACGUGAAUUUGUAUUCAUAUAGGGAGGAAAGCGAGAGGGCAUCUUUGCUGUAGAUCUCUUUCCGUAGCUUGUCUUUGUCAUCUAAUUAUGGGAAUCUCAUGCGCCACCGGAGACAAUGCAUUCAGCGAUUGCUUUGGCAUCUCCCUCCUGCAGCUGCACCAUCUUUGUUCGAGCUUUGGUCGGCACGAUGGCAGUGUUGUGAGCUUUUACCGGUGGGAGCUUUCGGAGAGGGAGAAUCGAUCCCUCGAUGUCUAUGUCGAUGCAUGCUUCGGUAAGUAGAUCUCACAUUACCUUUCUUGCGUGAUAAGCAUGAUGUCUCCGAUCCAUCAUAGCUGAAUCGACAACAGAUGUCACUCAUGUCGUUUCUUACAGCCAAGAACUGUUCUUCCGGUGACGAUGAUGACGCUGUCGUCGUUGGGUGGCUCUUCGGUAUCUUGCAGUCCUCUUCACGAAGAAGCUUCACUGUAGCUGAAGAUUAAUCUUGCCCGAUCACAACCUGUAAACGCCAUGAAAGAAUAGACAGAGAGUUCCAAGGCAAGUAUACAGAUAAUUUGCUUUAUGGAAUGAUGGAAAGAUGGAAUGUGAGGAGGUGACUGCCAACGAAAAGUCAGUCUUAGCAUAGAAGCAAUCACCAAACAAGAAUUGUUCUCGGGCAUCGAGGAGAAGACACGCAUCGCCAGAUUAGGUAGGCAAGAAAUACUGGUUUUGGCAAACCAAUCGAAUGCAAAAUUCGUGACCGGG